CCCUUAGACGUUCUGGGCCGCACGCGCGCUACACUGACCAGUGCAACAAGCAUCCGUCCUUGGCCGACAGGCCCGGGCAAUCUUUGAACGCUGGUCGUGAUGGGGAUAGACUUUUGCAAUUUUUGGUCUUCAACGAGGAAUUCCUAGUAAACGCAAGUCAUCAACUUGCAUUGAUUACGUCCCUGCCCUUUGUACACACCGCCCGUCGCACCUACCGAUUGAAUGGUCCGGUGAAGCCUCCGGAUUGGCGCGCACCUCGGUGCCGCCGAGAAGUUGGCUAAACCUUACCAUUUAGAGGAAGGUAAAGUCGUAACA
rnacentral:rRNA from 1 species